CUCUCACUUCAAUAUUCUCACAGAAAUUGCCUGCAGCACAUCCUGUAAAGACAUCCUAAUUUCUCUUCUCUCAACCUGUGAGACCUCAGCACUGGACCAUGUGACAAGUGGUGAAACUCAGGCAUAUUACAUGGUUUUCAACACAUCCUUUAGAAUUUACCCUCCAGGACAGAAAAUCCUCUCUUCAAUAAAAA
rnacentral:lncRNA from 1 species